AUCCUUCGUUUGUUGCAAGUUCAA
rnacentral:siRNA from 1 species